rnacentral:rRNA from 1 species
GUGGGGAAUCUUCCACAAUGGACGAAAGUCUGAUGGAGCAACGCCGCGUGAGUGAAGAAGGGUUUCGGCUCGUAAAGCUCUGUUGUCGGGGACGAAUGUGCAGUAUUUGAAUAAAGUACUGCAAUGACGGUACCUGACGAGGAAGCCACGGCUAACUACGUGCCAGCAGCCGCGGUAAUACGUAGGUGGCAAGCGUUGUCCGGAAUUAUUGGGCGUAAAGGGAGCGCAGGCGGGAAGGUAAGUCGGUCUUAAAAGUGCGGGGCUCAACCCCGUGAUGGGAUCGAAACUAUCUUUCUUGAGUGCAGGAGAGGAAAGUGGAAUUCCUAGUGUAGCGGUGAAAUGCGUAGAUAUUAGGAGGAACACCAGUGGCGAAGGCGACUUUCUGGACUGUAACUGACGCUGAGGCUCGAAAGCCAGGGGAGCGAACGGGAUUAGAUACCCCAGUAGUCC